AGUGAACGCUGGCGGUAGGCCUAACACAUGCAAGUCGAACGGCAGCACAGUAAGAGCUUGCUCUUACGGGUGGCGAGUGGCGGACGGGUGAGGAAUACAUCGGAAUCUACUUUUUCGUGGGGGAUAACGUAGGGAAACUUACGCUAAUACCGCAUACGACCUACGGGUGAAAGCAGGGGAUCUUCGGACCUUGCGCGAUUGAAUGAGCCGAUGUCGGAUUAGCUAGUUGGCGGGGUAAAGGCCCACCAAGGCGACGAUCCGUAGCUGGUCUGAGAGGAUGAUCAGCCACACUGGAACUGAGACACGGUCCAGACUCCUACGGGAGGCAGCAGUGGGGAAUAUUGGACAAUUGGCGCAAGCCUGAUCCAGCCAUACCGCGUGGGUGAAGAAGGCCUUCGGGUUGUAAAGCCCUUUUGUUGGGAAAGAAAAGCAGCAGGUUAAUACCCCGCUGUUCUGACGGUACCCAAAGAAUAAGCACCGGCUAACUUCGUG
rnacentral:rRNA from 1 species